rnacentral:ncRNA from 1 species
UGAAGGGCUCAGUGUUGAGACCAUUUCUGUUUAACAUCCUUAUUGAUGAUCUUGAUAAGGACAUAGCGUGGAGCCGCGCCGUGGAAUGCGAGUGCUCAGUGGGCCACUUUUGGUAAGCAGAACUGGCGCUGCGGGAUGAACCGAACGCCGGGUUAAGGCGCCCGAUGCCGACGCUCAUCAGAGCCCAGAAAAGGUGUUGGUUGAUCUAGACAGCAGGACGGUGGCCAUGG